rnacentral:misc_RNA from 1 species
CUUCUGUUUCUCACAGAUUCUUCCCGAUUUAUCCACAGGGCUUUCCAGGAAAGGAUAAGUGUAAUCGAUCCAGGGGAACUCCUGUACGCUUUCGCGCGCAUAUUGAAAAAAUUAAUAUGUAAAGGUGAGCAGACGCCUAAAAGAUCGCAUAAAGAUCCAGGGCGAUCCUUGCGCUUUACCUGGCAGUCCGUAUAAUUCUCCACCCGUCGCGCAAUGCCCGUCAUAUGGCGUCAACGCUGCUUAUUUUCCGCACAAAAAGGCGUGGAAAAUCGCGGGAAAAUAAGGAAAGAGAAUUGACUCCGGAGUGUACAAUUAUUACAAUCCGGCCUCUUUAAUCACCCACACUG